GGAUGUGAGGGUGACCUGGCUGCCACAUCUGUCACCCCCUGAUCACCAGAGUCGAACCGGCUGUGUGGAGGGCUAGGCAUGUGUCUCGGUCCUUCCUCACCACUCCACCUGUGUCCCUCCUGAAGCUAAGCCUUUCCUCCUCAGGACAUUUCUCCAGUCAGGGGUACAGGAGUGGCUGCGUUCCCCUGCCAGAACCCCCACACAAGCCUUCAUUGAUUUGUUCAUCCGUCCUCCCACCCAUUCAGCCAUCCAUCCACUUAACUACCACUUGCGAGGCAUCGCUCUGAUGCAGGGGAUACAUCU
rnacentral:snRNA from 1 species